rnacentral:siRNA from 1 species
CCAAAACCUCUUGAUAUUCAA